GGUGACAGAGUGAGGGAAGGGAUGACUAGUGGCAGAGUGAGGGAAGGAAGGGAUGACUAAUGACAGAGUGAGAGAGGGUGUGACUAGUGACAGAGUGAGAGAGGGGGUGACUGUCACUAGUCACCCCAUCCCUCUCUCUGUCACUAGUCACUCCCUCCCUCACUCUGUCACUGUCACCCCUUCCCUCACUCUGUCACUAGUCACCCCCUCUCUCACUAUGUCACUAGUCACCCCCUCCCUCACUAUGUCACCCCCUUCCUCACUCUGUCACUAGUCACCCCCUCUCUCACUCUGUCACUAAGGACAG